UACGUAGGGUGCGAGCGUUGUCCGGAAUUAUUGGGCGUAAAGAGCUUGUAGGCGGUUUGUCGCGUCUGCUGUGAAAAUCCGGGGCUCAACCCCGGACUUGCAGUGGGUACGGGCAGACUAGAGUGUGGUAGGGGAGAUUGGAAUUCCUGGUGUAGCGGUGAAAUGCGCAGAUAUCAGGAGGAACACCGAUGGCGAAGGCAGGUCUCUGGGCCACUACUGACGCUGAGACGCGAAAGCGUGGGGAGCGAACAGG
rnacentral:rRNA from 1 species